GACGAACGCUGGCGGCGUGCCUAAUACAUGCCAGUCGAGCGAACAGACGAGGAGCUUGCUCCUCUGACGUUAGCGGCGGACGGGUGAGUAACACGUGGAUAACCUACCUAUAAGACUGGGAUAACUUCGGGAAACCGGAGCUAAUACCGGAUAAUAUAUUGAACCGCAUGGUUCAAUAGUGAAAGACGGUUUUGCUGUCACUUAUAGAUGGAUCCGCGCCGCAUUAGCUAGUUGGUAAGGUAACGGCUUACCAAGGCGACGAUGCGUAGCCGACCUGAGAGGGUGAUCGGCCACACUGGAACUGAGACACGGUCCAGACUCCUACGGGAGGCAGCAGUAGGGAAUCUUCCGCAAUGGGCGAAAGCCUGACGGAGCAACGCCGCGUGAGUGAUGAAGGUCUUCGGAUCGUAAAACUCUGUUAUUAGGGAAGAACAAAUGUGUAAGUAACUAUGCACGUCUUGACGGUACCUAAUCAGAAAGCCACGGCUAACUACGU
rnacentral:rRNA from 1 species